rnacentral:hammerhead_ribozyme from 1 species
GUCCGGCUGACGAGUCCCAAAUAGGUCGAGAUGAGCGUCCUGGAU